rnacentral:rRNA from 1 species
AAUGAACGCUGGCGGCGUGCUUAACACAUGCAAGUCGAACGAGAAAGGGAUUGCUUGCAAUCCUGAGUAGAGUGGCGCACGGGUGAGUAACACGUAGAUAAUCUACCUUCAAGCCCGGGAUAACUAUUCGAAAGGAUAGCUAAUACCGGAUAAAGUAUGUAGUCAUAAGACGACCUAUGAAAGUUUGCCGAUCCUUGGAAGCAAAUGUUUGAAGAUGAGUUUGCGAACCAUUAGUUUGUUGGUGGGGUAAAGGCCUACCAAGACUGCGAUGGUUAGCUGGUCUGAGAGGAUGAUCAGUCACACUGGAACUGGAACACGGUCCAG